CUCUGAGGAAUAGUUUGGCCCCGAGCUGACAAGGUAAAAUUCUGUCGUUCUACCCACUGUUCCCCGGGCGCCGUGGAUGUCGAUUCAAGGCAGCUUCCCGCACCUCUCUGAUUCAGAGGGGUUGGGUUAAAUGUGGAAUAGACAUUUCAGUUGAAUGCAUUCAGUUGUACAACUGACUAGGUAUCCCCCUUUCCCUAUACAACUGACUAGGUGUCCCCCUUUCCCUAUACAACUGACUAGGUAUCCCCCUUUCCCUAUACAACUGACUAGGUGUCCCCCUUUCCCUAUACAACUGACUAGGUGUCCCCCUUUCCCUAUACAACUGACUAGGUGUCCCCCUUUCCCUAUACAACUGACUAGGUAUCCCCCUUUCCCUAUACAACUGACUAG
ensembl:lncRNA